AAGCACACAUUUUAAUGCCUUAUAGAUGUUACAGAAAAUUUACAGUAUAUGUAAAGGUAGAAAUAGAAUUUCUGUAUCUAAAUAGGGACAUUUACAGAGAAACAUAUGUAUUCAGUAGCUUGCAUUGCAGACUUUUAUGGUGUAGAUCUUCAGCUGAAGGGUUAUGAUUACACAUACCAGCAGAUAGGAUUGCGAGGCAGAACGCAGGAGCCACAACUUUAUAAAGCAAAGACCUUUCAAAGGCCUCAAGCUCUCUCCUGCGCAUGACUGAAGGUUUCCACUUAUUGCAGCACUGGUGGCUGCCACACUGUGUUGCCCCAUGGACAAGAGGAGAUGAGUUUUUGUAAGGUGUAAGAUCACACAAACAGGUUACCCCAAAAUCGCCAUGAUUCUGUAGGGUGAAGGGCAGAGCUGAAGGCAGAGCUUUGCUCUGCAUGUCUUGUUCCUGGGACAGAGCUGUUACAAGGCUUUCCUUUCUUCUGCUGUUGUCCGGAGUUGACAACAAUUAUCGUUUAACUUCUUUCCUUUCCAAACUUUCCUGAGCCCAUACUCAGGGCUCUAUGCAAAUUGGAGCCUACUAGGAUGAGGUGAAUUACUUGGACUUGGUAAAGACUGAUCUGAAUGCUUCCCUUUUCUUCAAUUUAUUGGGUCAGUAAACUUUGAUCCAUUUUUUAUUUCUUCAUUUCCUGGCUCUGUCCAGAGUUUGAAUAGUGUGAAUGCUGUGAAGUAAACCAUUCACUAAGUAUUUCUUGCUUAAAAUAUUCAGUGAGACCCACAUGUCCUGAGAUACCUGUAUUUUGCCAGGAGUUCCAGGGAGCUGUGCAAAGUCCUCUCCCCUGCAAACCAAAAUAAAUCAAGGAAGGCCUCGUGUGUGGCAUACUUAUCUGAAAGUAAUACCUAAAGUCUUCACAAAUACCGCUUUUUCUCUCCCUCAUUACUGUUGUUUUUAAGUGGCUGUCAGGAUUUGCUGCAGAUGGGAAAAUAGCUUUUCUUCACCCCCUCACCCUCUGUCGCCAAAUAUGUAAUUAUCAGAAGAAGCAGUUCCUGUAAAAUGUGUUUUCCAAUAAGAGCACACACUUUUUGAGCUGUGUUAUUACAGUUUCAUUUGAUAAAAGCAGUAAAGCAUGCAUAAUUUCAAAUGAGAGAAGUCCUGCUGACCACAAUAACAGAUACAUUUGCUGGCUGAAAUUGUAACAUCAUUUGAGAUGAUAGACACACAAAGAAAAUUCCAUGCAAUUCAGGUAUUACGAUAGCGUGUCUUGUUUCCAGGGAUGUACUGGAAGGCAUAAGGAAGCUCUCAGUCACCAGUUAGCUUGGCUGGUAAAAAGCAUGCAUGCUUAUACUGAACAAAUGAACUACAUGGUGCCUGCAGCAAGAAGGAGUUGGACUUGAUGAUGCAGGAGAUGCGUCCUGACCUGUGUUAGUUACAGGCAUCAAAAGAGAAACAUAGCAGCAUUAACGCCUUUUGCAGAAUUUUUUUUUCCUGGUGGAAAAGGCUAGUAAUUGCUUUUGAAGUGUCAGUGUAGCACAUUAUGCUGAAUGACUUCAGCUGCUUCAUUUGGCCCCCGCGUUCCUGCCAGCCCAGGGAGUUCAGGGGCAGCAGAGGGGGAUAGUGACAUUUCUAAUGGGAAGAGAUGAGGAGGGAGGGAAGGGAGGGCAGCUCAUGCCAGCAGAGCUCAGGGGAGAGAGGGCAGGAGAAAGGAAAUUUGGAAACUCUCCUUGCUGGCAUUAGAAAUGACUGGACUUUGGAAAUCCUGGAAAACAGUCACUGUGCACGUGUACUUGCCUUGUGGAUCCCAGGCACAGGGGCCUCGCUGCAUGGCUGCUGUAGAUGGGAACUGCUGACCUUCUAGACGAAUAAGCAAAAGCUGUUGUUCAACCCAUAUACUACAGAAAGCAUCUGUCUAGAGAGUACACGACAUCUGCUCUGAACUUUGUUAUGGAAUGACCGGAAUAAAACCAUCAGUUCUGUCUGAGAGUGUUGGUGCCAUUUAAUGUCACUAGAAACCUGUGGACAACUUUACAGAGACCAUAAAGCUAACCUCACAUCAGUGCUGGUAAAAUACUGGCCUACAACUUGGACCCAGUUGGUCCCUUGAGGGACCAUGGCUCAUGUCACCGCCUGAUGUGUGCUGGAGCAGCCACUGGGGCACAGUGAGAGCAAUGCGCGGGCAGGACACAGUGGGAAGAAGAGAUGAGCAUGACUCUGCAGCCGUUCUCACCUGCAGCCUGCUGUCCCCUGCAGCUCCCAUCUCCUACAGAGGAACCAUCCCUUGGGACCAAUAUGGGACACAGUGUAUUCUCAAACUGAGGAACUGGAAACUUUAAUCACUGAAUAUGAAAAGGCUAUUAUUUGUCAAAAACAGGUGACCCUUGCUAUCAAACAUGAUACUGGCUGGAUUGUCAGAAUUGCAACAGAAAUAGAACAAACUGCUGGACAUCAUUGGUAUGACAUUUUUAUGAGAUAUGUGCCAUCUGCAAAUGGCAUAUCACAUCUUAUGUUACUUCCUAUGAUCAUUGUAUUAUUGUGCUGUAUUUUAUUAGUUUUGCUAUUAAUAUGUUUUUAUAUCUAUGUUUAUCACAUAUCUCGCUAUGUUGAAAGCAUGCAUCACCGGUUGUUACCUGAUUUGGGCUUAAGUGAGUGCACAAAUCUUCCCCCUGCCCUCAUCCCCAGGGAGGCAAGAGGGCUAACCAUACCUCCACUCACCCAGGCAGUGGUUUUGCUGGGUGUUUGGUCUACGCCAAGGGGUGAGUGUGACUGUCCACUCAGCUCUGGUUUGACCCAACACACAGCUCAUGCCACGGCCUGAUGUGUGCUGGAGCAGCCACUGGGGUACAGUGAGAGCAACACGUGGGCAGGACACAGUGGGAAGAAGAGAUGAGGGCGACUCUGCAGCCUUUGUCACCUGCAGCCUGCUGUCCCCUGCAGCUCCCAUCUCCUGCAGAGGAACCGUCUGUCGGUUUCUUCAGAAUCCACUAACUUAUGGAAAUGUAUAGACCAGCCUCCCAAGCUGGAAGGUAGAAAUAUGCCAGCUUACCCAAAAAGCCUCUGGGGUGGUUCCAUCUGCAGCCAGCCCACUGAGGCUCCCGUGCUCCCCAGUGUGGCACAGGGAUGCCCACACUGUGAGGGAGGAGGAAGGGUGAGCACGCUCAUCAUCAGCUGGUAGCUGCUUUUCCUGUAGGUGUGUGAGCUAAAGAGUUUGUGAGCUGGAGAAUUUGUGAAUUAAUGAAGUAAUGCAUUAGAGAAUUCACGUGUUACAUUAGUCUGCACAAAGGACAUUGAGCCCACAUUUGAUUUUUUUUUUUAACUUAAUGAACUCCUGAAUUAAAGUUUAAUUUGCUGA